UCUGACGGUAAGGAACGAAGGCUAGGGUACAAACCGGAUUAGAUACCCGGGUAGUCCUAGCUGUAAACAUUGCCCAUUUGAUGUUGCUUUUCCGUUGAGGGAAGGCAGUGUCGGAGCGAAGGUGUUAAAUGGGCCGCUUGGGAAGUAUGGUCGCAAGACUGAAACUUAAAGGAAUUGGCGGGGGAGCACCGCAACGGGAGGAAUGUGCGGUUUAAUUGGAUUCAACGCCGGAAAACUCACCGGGAACGACCUGUGCAUGAGAGUCAACCUGACGAGCUUACUCGAUAGCAGGAGAGGUGGUGCAUGGCCGUCGUCAGCUCGUACCGUAGGGCGUUCACUUAAGUGUGAUAACGAGCGAGACCCACAUCUUUAAUUGCAAAUGUAUAUGAGAAUAUGCAUGCACUUUAGAGAAACCGCCAGCGCUAAGCUGGAGGAAGGAGUGGUCGACGGCAGGUCAGUACGCCCCGAAUUUCCCGGGCUACACGCGCAUUACAAAGAACGGGACAAUACGUUGCAACCUCGAAAGAGGAAGCUAAUCGCGAAACCCGUCCAUAGUUAGGAUUGAGGGCUGUAACUCGCCCUCAUGAAUCUGGAUUCCGUAGUAAUCGCGGGUCAACAACCCGCGGUG
rnacentral:rRNA from 1 species